rnacentral:lncRNA from 1 species
UGGGGCCGUAUGGGAGUGGGCUUCUUUUUAGGGUUGGGACUUUUCGUCAGGGUUGGGGCCGGAUGCGCAGGGGCUUUUCCUCAGGGUUGGGGCCGGACGUGCAGGGGCUUUUCCUCAGGGUUGGGUCGGAGGGGAACGUACCUUUUCCUGAGGCUUGUGGCUGGAGGGGAACGGGCUUUUCCUCAGUGUUGGGGCCAGAGGGGAAGGGCUUUUCGUCAGGGUUCGGGCCGGAGUGGGAAGGGCUUUUCCUCAGGUUUUUGCCAGGAGGGGAAGGGGCUUUUCCUCAGGCUUGGGGCUUUUUCUGAGGGUUGGGGUCGGAUGGGAAGGGGCUUUUUCUGAGAGUGGUUGUGGCCGGAGGGAAGGGGCUUUUCUGAGGGUUGUGUCCGGAGGGGAAGGGGUUUUUCGUCAGGGUUAGGGCUGGUGGGGAAGGGCUUUUCCUCAGGGUUGGGGCCCGACGCGCAGGGACUUUUCUUCAGGGUUGGGGUUUUCCUCAGUUUUGCGGCCGGAGGGGAAGUGGUUUUUGUCAGGGUUCGGGCCGGAGUUGAAGGGGCUUUUCCUCAGGUUUUUGGCAGGAGGGGAGGUGGCUUUUCUUCAGGGUUGGGGCUUUUUCUCAGAGUUGGGGUCGGUGGGGAAGNGGUUUUUGUCAGGGUUCGGGCCGGAGUUGAAGGGGCUUUUCCUCAGGUUUUUGGCAGGAGGGGAGGUGGCUUUUCCUCAGGGUUGGGGCUUUUUCUCAGAGUUGGGGUCGGUGGGGAAGGGGCUUUUUCUCAGAGUUGGGGUCGGAGGGGAAGGGGCUUUUUCUCAGAGUUGGGGCCCGAGGGGAACGGGGUUUUUCUCAGGGUUAUGGCUGGAAGGGGAAGGGGCUUUUUCUCAGGGUUGUGGCUGGAGGGGAAGGGGCCUUUUCUGAGGCUUGGGGUCGGAGGGGAAGGCGCUUUUCCUCAGGGUUGGGGCUUUUCCUCAGGGUUUGAGACAGAGUGUAAGGGGUUUUUCGUCAGGGUUGUGUACGGAGGGGAAGGGGCUUUUCCUCAGGGUUGGGGCCGGGAGGGGAAGGGGCUUUUCCUCAUGGUUGGGGCAGGUGGGGAAGUGCUUUUUGUCAGGGUUGGGGCCGCAGUGGAAGGGGCUUUUCCUCAGGUUUUUGGCAGGAGUGGAUGUGGCUUUUCCUCAGGGUUGGGUCUUUUUCUCAGGGUUGGGGUCGGAAUAGACGGGCCUUUUCCUCAGGAUUGGCUCCUCAUGGGAAGGGCCUUUUCCUCAGGGUUGGGGCCGAAAGGGAAGGGACAUUUCCUAAGCGAUGGGACCACAUGGGAAUGGGAUUUUCCUCAGGGUUGCAGGUGCCUAGUGCAGUCUUGGACAGGGAAUUCCACAUGUCACGGAGCAGUUGUGGAAGGCGGAGACGCAGUGUGCGAUACAGGAUGUCACGACCCGAGCUGCCUCUGGAGUGACUCUGGUGCUGUAAGUGGCUAAAGAGAACAGAUGGAAGCAUCUGCUCUGUGGGGUAGGUAAGCUGCUGAGGUAAAGGAGGGGAUGAGAGUAACUGACCUAAGGGUGCUGUGGCUUUUGCUGCUGUGGUUG